CCCCAGUAGUCCUAGCCGUAAACGAUGGAUACUAGGUGCUGUGCGACUCGACCCGUGCAGUGCCACAGCUAACGCGUUAAGUAUCCCGCCUGGGGAGUACGUUCGCAAGAAUGAAACUCAAAGGAAUUGACGGGGGCCCGCACAAGCGGUGGAGCAUGUGGUUUAAUUCGAUGCAAAGCGAAGAACCUUACCAGGGCUUGACAUGCCGCGAAUCCU
rnacentral:ncRNA from 1 species